rnacentral:rRNA from 1 species
CAGUCGCCACGGUAAUACGAAGGGGGCUAGCGUUGCUCGGAAUCACUGGGCGUAAAGGGUGCGUAGGCGGGUUUUUAAGUCAGAGGUGAAAUCCUGGAGCUCAACUCCAGAACUGCCUUUGAUACUGAAAGUCUUGAGUAUGGGAGAGGUGAGUGGAACUGCGAGUGUAGAGGUGAAAUUCGUAGAUAUUCGCAAGAACACCAGUGGCGAAGGCGGCUCACUGGCCCAUAACUGACGCUGAGGCACGAAAGCGUGGGGAGCAAACAGGAUUAGAUACCCGCGUAGUCCCUGUCUCUUAUAC